GAAAAGUUGGACUGAAUAGGCACGCCCCUUCUGAAGAAGCUGUGCGAAACGCGCGUCAGGGGUGCGCUCACCAGGGUCCCAAGUGUGUAUCUUCAUUUCCAGCUGAUGUUUAAUGUCUUUUCCAUCCAUGGAGGAGCUUGGUUGUCACUUGAAGAAGUUACAAUGUUGCCAUCACAUAUUUCUCUUGAAGAUAUAUUAUGGUAAGUUUGUCGUGUAGCCGUCACCUCUGACAAGUAAAUGUUCUGCAUUUUGUGUAACAACUUGAUCUGGGACCCUUGAAGCUCGUGAAACCUCCAGCGUGCGGCUGUGCCAAACAGAUUUGCUGAUCUAUAAUUUGCUGGUUGUGUAAUAAACUCUCUGGCAGAAGGUCCUGGAACGACAUGAAAGGGAAUACUGCAGCCGAACUGAUGUCUUUAAUUCGCAAUUCAUUGUCGGUCAGCGGCAGAUCUCCUCUUACCUUUAUAUCGGGAGCAGAUUGAGUAUGAACGUGUAAUAAUUCGUCGUCUGCGUAUCUAGGAUCUGAGCCCC